AAAUAUUAAGGCUUUGCCUUUUGUUGAUGCUUAUCACCUUCAAAAGUGAUUCAUCCAAAAAUAUUGGCGUCAAUUAUUAGUCCAAGAAACGCAGUGAAAUGUGAAUCUAAACUAAUUGAUUUAUUGCCUUGUUUUACUCUUUCAAA
rnacentral:misc_RNA from 1 species